GAUGAACGCUGGCGGCGUGCCUAAUACAUGCAAGUCGAGCGAACAGACGAGGAGCUUGCUCCUCUGACGUUAGCGGCGGACGGGUGAGUAACACGUGGGUAACCUACCUAUAAGACUGGGAUAACUUCGGGAAACCGGAGCUAAUACCGGAUAAUAUAUUGAACCGCAUGGUUCAAUAGUGAAAGACGGUUUUGCUGUCACUUAUAGAUGGAUCCGCGCCGCAUUAGCUAGUUGGUAAGGUAACGGCUUACCAAGGCAACGAUGCGUAGCCGACCUGAGAGGGUGAUCGGCCACACUGGAACUGAGACACGGUCCAGACUCCUACGGGAGGCAGCAGUAGGGAAUCUUCCGCAAUGGGCGAAAGCCUGACGGAGCAACGCCGCGUGAGUGAUGAAGGUCUUCGGAUCGUAAAACUCUGUUAUUAGGGAAGAACAAAUGUGUAAGUAACUAUGCACGUCUUGACGGUACCUAAUCAGAAAGCCACGGCUACCUACGUG
rnacentral:rRNA from 1 species